UACGGAGGGGGCUAGCGUUGUUCGGAAUUACUGGGCGUAAAGCGCACGUAGGCGGCUUUGUAAGUUAGAGGUGAAAGCCCGAAGCUCAACUUCGGAAUUGCCUUUAAGACUGCAUCGCUAGAAUCGUGGAGAGGUAAGUGGAAUUCCGAGUGUAGAGGUGAAAUUCGUAGAUAUUCGGAAGAACACCAGUGGCGAAGGCGACUUACUGGACACGUAUUGACGCUGAGGUGCGAAAGCGUGGGGAGCAAACAGG
rnacentral:rRNA from 1 species